rnacentral:lncRNA from 14 species
GGGGGUCGCUCUGCAGCCGCCGCAGUUUCGCUUCCAGUUCCAGGUUGCGGCUCUCGGCCUCCUGCAGGCGCCUGGAGGGAGGCGACACUUGGGGACACCGCGGGGACCCCCCCUGGGGACCCCCCUCGGUCCCCGAUGGCCGCGGGGUCACUGUCCCCACCGGUGGCACUGGUGUCACCUCCCCGGUGGUGAUUGUCACCCUGAUGUCACCCUCGGUGUCACCUCCCGGUCCCCAGUGCCACCCACGCCCACAGGCCCGGGGUCACUCCGCUGUCACCAUCCUGUCCCGUUGUCCCCUCGGUGUCCCCGCUGUCCCCUCCUUGUCCCGCUGUCCCCACACUGUCCCCGUUCUCCCCGCGGUGUCCCCGUUGUCCCCUCCCGGUCCCGCUGUCCCCCCUGUCCCCCCGGUGUCCCCGUUGUCCCCUCGGUGUCCCCGCUGUCCCUGCUGUCCCUUCCCGGUCCCGCUGUCCCCGUUGUUCCCUCGGUGUCUCCGCUGUCCCCUCCUGGUCCCGCUGUCCCCCCUGUCCCCCCGGUGUCCCGUUCUCCCCGCGGUGUCCCCGCUGUCCCUGCUGUCCCUUCCCGGUCCCGCUGUCCCCGCAGUGUCCCUGCUGUCCCCCCGGUGUCCCCUCAGUGUCCCCGGUGUCCCCCCGGUGUCCUCGUUGUCCCCGCGGUGUCCCCGUUCUCCCCGCGGUGUCUCCGCUGUCCCCGGUGUCCCCCUUGUCCCCCCGGUGUCUCCGCUGUCCCCUCCCGGUCCCGCUGUCCCCAUCCUGUCCCGCUGUCCCCCCUGUCCCGCCGGUGUCCCCUCAGUGUCCCCGGUGUCCCCGUUGUCUCCUCGGUGUCUCUGCUGUCCCCUCCCGGUCCCGUUGUCCCCCCGGUGUCCCCUCCCGUACCGGGCCAGCCCCUGCCCCGCCGCCCGCAGCUUCCCGAGCUCCCGCUCCAGCUCCUCCCGCCCGCGCCGCUCCUUGGCCAGCGCCUCCCGCAGCUCCGGCACCGACACCGGCACCGGCUCCGGCACCGGCACCGACACCGGCACCGCCGGCGCCGCCGGGACCGCGACCGGGACCGCCGACACCGACACCGGGACCGACACCGGCACCGCCGCCGGGACCGCGACCGGGGCCGCCACCGCCACCUGCGGGAACCGCGUCUGGCUGGGGACCCCGGGAUUGCCGGGACCUCCCGAACCGGGAUCCCCCGAACCGGGACCCCCCGAACCGGGACCCCGGGAUUGCCGGGACCUCCCGAGCGGGAUCCCCGAACCGGGACCCCCCGAACCGGGACCCCGGGAUUGCCGGGACCUCCCGAACCGGGAUCCCCCGAACCGGGACCCCCCGAACCGGGACCCCCGGGAUUCGGGACCCCACCCCGGGCCCCCUUUCCCCCCCCUCCGUCGACACCGAAAUUCCCGGGAUUCCCGAAAUUCCGGGGCUCCCGCCCCUUCCCCAGCACCCCCCGCCCCCUCCCCGAGUUCCGGGACUCCGCCCCCCGCCCCAAAUCCCCCUCCCCGCGUACCGGCGGUGCCCGGGGGGGCUCCGUGCCCGGGGGGGGCGUCCUCGGGGGGGCCCCCUUGGCCGGGGGGGGUCCCUGGGGUGGGGGCGCCGCUUUUUGGGGGGGGGCGGCGGC